ACUUGGCUCUCUGGCAGGAGCUUGAGGACGCAAGGAGGGUUUGUCACUGGCAGACUCGAGACUGUAGGCACUGCCAUGGCCCCUGUGCUCAGUAAGGACUCGGCGGACAUCGAGAGUAUCCUGGCUUUAAAUCCUCGAACACAAACUCAUGCGACUCUGCGUUCCACUUCGGCCAAGAAAUUAGACAAGAAACAUUGGAAAAGAAAUCCUGAUAAGAACUGCUUUAAAUCUGCAGGGACCUGUGCCUGGGCUUAGGGCCUCUGGCAGCACUACCGUCACCUGUCAUAGCAGUUCCAGGACCAGCUUGACACAGAGCGCCAUGGCCAACAACACGUUCUCUGUGACUCCUGAGGCCACUGCUGAGCUAUCUCAGGUCGCCAGAAGCCUGCUUACCACUAUGAACUUUCGAGAACACACGUAUACAAUUCUUCUCUGAACCGAACAAGUGCCUGGCAAUGAGGACAGACCUCAGUGGAGGUGGGGAAGGGGAAGCAAACAGUAGAACACAGCUUUCCCACCUUCUUCACAUCCUGACACUCAGAGACUAUAAU
rnacentral:sRNA from 1 species